GAAGCCCGCCAGACCACCGCUGGUGCAAUUUGGGAAACCAAGCACUGGAGGAACGUCCGGACUGCAUAGGGCAGCGUAGCAGUUAACGACUGUCCACUGACAAGCCGGCCACGCAAGUGGCAGGCCCUAAGGUGAGGAUUAGAGCAACAGAGACGAGCCGAUUUAGUUCGGGUGAAACGGGCAAUCUCUACGCGCAGCAAUACCAAGUAGGCCAACGUUGACGGGGCCCCCGGAGUUGGCGGGUAGGUAGCAUCGAGCCGUUUGGGUGACCAGCGGCCCAGAGUAAUGGUGGUCACGUGGGGGAAACCCCAUGCACAGAAUCCGGCUUAUCGGUGGGCUUCACAC
rnacentral:RNase_P_RNA from 2 species